CAGUCGAACGGCAGCACAGCAGAGCUUGCUCUGUGGGUGGCGAGUGGCGGACGGGUGAGGAAUACAUGGGAAUCUGCCCAGCCGUGGGGGAUAACGUAUGGAAACGUACGCUAAUACCGCAUGCGCCCUUCGGGGGAAAGUGGGGGACCGCAAGGCCUCACGCGAUUGGAUGAGCCCAUGUGCGAUUAGCUGGUUGGCGGGGUAAAGGCCCACCAAGGCGACGAUCGCUAGCUGGUCUGAGAGGAUGAUCAGCCACACUGGAACUGAGACACGGUCCAGACUCCUACGGGAGGCAGCAGUAGGGAAUAUUGGACAAUGGGGGCAACCCUGAUCCGGCCAUGCCGCGUGAGUGAAGAAGGCCCUCGGGUUGUAAAGCUCUUUUGUCCGGAAAGAAAGGCAUUCGGUGAAUACCCGGAUGUGAUGACGGUACCGGAAGAAUAAGCACCGGCUAACUUCGUGCCAGCAGCCGCGGUAAUACGAAGGGUGCAAGCGUUACUCGGAAUUACUGGGCGUAAAGCGUGCGUAGGUGGUUUGUUAAGUCUGAUGUGAAAGCCCUGGGCUCAACCUGGGAAUGGCAUUGGAUACUGGCAGGCUAGAGUGCGGUAGAGGGCAGUGGAAUUCCCGGUGUAGCAGUGAAAUGCGUAGAGAUCGGGAGGAACAUCUGUGGCGAAGGCGACUGCCUGGACCAGCACUGACACUGAGGCACGAAAG
rnacentral:rRNA from 1 species